UUUAUGGAGAGUUUGAUCCUGGCUCAGGAUGAACGCUGGCGGCGUGCCUAAUACAUGCAAGUCGAGCGAACGGACGAGAAGCUUGCUUCUCUGAUGUUAGCGGCGGACGGGUGAGUAACACGUGGAUAACCUACCUAUAAGACUGGGAUAACUUCGGGAAACCGGAGCUAAUACCGGAUAAUAUUUUGAACCGCAUGGUUCAAAAGUGAAAGACGGUCUUGCUGUCACUUAUAGAUGGAUCCGCGCUGCAUUAGCUAGUUGGUAAGGUAACGGCUUACCAAGGCAACGAUGCAUAGCCGACCUGAGAGGGUGAUCGGCCACACUGGAACUGAGACACGGUCCAGACUCCUACGGGAGGCAGCAGUAGGGAAUCUUCCGCAAUGGGCGAAAGCCUGACGGAGCAACGCCGCGUGAGUGAUGAAGGUCUUCGGAUCGUAAAACUCUGUUAUUAGGGAAGAACAUAUGUGUAAGUAACUGUGCACAUCUUGACGGUACCUAAUCAGAAAGCCACGGCUAACUACGUGCCAGCAGCCGCGGUAAUACGUAGGUGGCAAGCGUUAUCCGGAAUUAUUGGGCGUAAAGCGCGCGUAGGCGGUUUUUUAAGUCUGAUGUGAAAGCCCACGGCUCAACCGUGGAGGGUCAUUGGAAACUGGAAAACUUGAGUGCAGAAGAGGAAAGUGGAAUUCCAUGUGUAGCGGUGAAAUGCGCAGAGAUAUGGAGGAACACCAGUGGCGAAGGCGACUUUCUGGUCUGUAACUGACGCUGAUGUGCGAAAGCGUGGGGAUCAAACAGGAUUAGAUACCCUGGUAGUCCACGCCGUAAACGAUGAGUGCUAAGUGUUAGGGGGUUUCCGCCCUUAGUGCUGCAGCUAACGCAUUAAGCACUCCGCCUGGGGAGUACGACCGCAAGGUUGAAACUCAAAGGAAUUGACGGGGACCCGCACAAGCGGUGGAGCAUGUGGUUUAAUUCGAAGCAACGCGAAGAACCUUACCAAAUCUUGACAUCCUUUGACAACUCUAGAGAUAGAGCCUUCCCUUCGGGGACAAAGUGACAGGUGGUGCAUGGUUGUCGUCAGCUCGUGUCGUGAGAUGUUGGGUUAAGUCCCGCAACGAGCGCAACCCUUAAGCUUAGUUGCCAUCAUUAAGUUGGGCACUCUAAGUUGACUGCCGGUGACAAACCGGAGGAAGGUGGGGAUGACGUCAAAUCAUCAUGCCCUUAUGAUUUGGGCUACACACGUGCUACAAUGGACAAUACAAAGGGCAGCGAAACCGCGAGGUCAAGCAAAUCCCAUAAAGUUGUUCUCAGUUCGGAUUGUAGUCUGCAACUCGACUACAUGAAGCUGGAAUCGCUAGUAAUCGUAGAUCAGCAUGCUACGGUGAAUACGUUCCCGGGUCUUGUACACACCGCCCGUCACACCACGAGAGUUUGUAACACCCGAAGCCGGUGGAGUAACCUUUUAGGAGCUAGCCGUCGAAGGUGGGACAAAUGAUUGGGGUGAAGUCGUAACAAGGUAGCCGUAUCGGAAGGUGCGGCUGGAUCACCUCCUUUCU
rnacentral:rRNA from 1 species